CAGCAUGCUAACCUAAGGACCUGAGCUUGUCCAUAGCGUGUGGUUCUCCAACAGCAUGCUAGAUGAUGGGGUGGUCUUUGACUGUUGUGGCCCCACCGUGCCAUCAGCAGCCACUCAACUGUCCAACAAAC
rnacentral:snoRNA from 1 species